GUAGGGAAUAUUGCGCAAUGGACGAAAGUCUGACGCAGCGACGCCGCGUGAGUGAUGAAGGCCUUAGGGUCGUAAAGCUCUGUUGAAUGGGAAGAAAAAAAUGACGGUACCAUUCGAGGAAGGACCGGCUAACUUCGUGCCAGCAGCCGCGGUAAUACGAGGGGUCCUAGCGUUGUUCGGAAUCAUUGGGCGUAAAGGUUGUGUAGGUGGCCAUGUAAGUCAGGUGUGAAAGCCCCGGGCUCAACCCGGGAAGUGCACUUGAUACUGCGUGGCUUGAGUACCGAAGAGGGUAGUGGAAUUCCAGGUGUAGUGGUGAAAUACGUAGAUAUCUGGAGGAACACCGGUGGCGAAGGCGGCUACCUGGUCGAGUACUGACACUGAGACACGAAAGCAUGGGGAUCAAACAGGAUUAGAUACCCCGGUAGUCC
rnacentral:rRNA from 1 species